AGGAUCGGGGGGACAAUCUGAGACAUGGUGGACAAUCGUCUGUGGAGAAACACAAAGGCACACAUACAUGACAAGAAGAAGAGAAACUCGUGUAAACGCUUCACAUCGGUUCUUCUCGCUGUUUGGAAACGAAGCAGAAGCUGAAACAUCGUGUGAAGGUCUAAGAAAAACUUCCGGACCAGCUGUGACGUCUUCUCCUUGUGUUCAGCGGUAUGACCACCUUAUAGGCGCAUUACCGCCACCUACUG